AUGACCUCAAAGGGUGUCUCAGCUUACUGCAAGUAUGGGCAUAGGAGAGGCUGCAUUUGAAGCCGAGACUAUGCGUGAAUUUACAAUUAGACGGACAAAUUCCACUAGGAUGCAGAUGGAAUGUCCAAAAAUGUUUUGACGAGACCCCGACGAGACAGUUAGAUUUCUACCGAAAUGAGCUUGACCGCAUGAAGAUUUUUCAGAUGGAAUGGGAGCCCUACACCCCAUUUCUCGAUCAUCUACCCCCGAUAUGCACAGAAUACCCAGUUAUAUGGAGAGCCAGAGUUCCUCUAAUAUGUUUCGAGAUAGUAGAAAUGCAUGUACCGGAUCGCGUGCUUCGACAAUUUGGUCUUGCACAACAUGUUCCGCAAAUUGUUGAAAAAAUAGAGAGGAAGGCGAAGAAAGGAGGCCAUCAAAAGGACUGGGCAGCUGAGCAUCAAAAUUAUAUAUACAGAUGGAAUGAUAGACAUUUUUGUAUUGUUGAGCAAAUCGAGCCAACUCCCCAGGAAUCAGAUUACUACACUUGGUAUUGGAGGAUAACUAGAAGAUGGAUACUCCAUGCGACCACAUCCCCGGUUGAGUUGCAAAGAGGAUAUGUGCCUCGGGGUAUAGAU